rnacentral:rRNA from 1 species
AACGAACGCUGGCGGCGUGCUUAACACAUGCAAGCCGAACGUGAUUCAACCUUCGGGUUGAUGAAAGUGGCGCACGGGUGAGUAACACGUGGAUAAUCUACCUGAGGAUCCGGGAUAACACUUCGAAAGGGGUGCUAAUACCGGAUAAGCUCACGAGACCUUCGGGGUUUGGGGGAAAAGGCGGGGACCUUCGGGCCUGCUGUCAUCAGAUGAGUCCGCGGCCCAGUGGCUAGUUGGUAGGGUAACGGCCUACCAAGGCGACGAUGGGUAGCUGGUCUGAGAGGAUGAUCAGACACACUGGAACUGAGACACGGUCCAGACUCCUACGGGAGGCAGCAGUGGGGAAUUUUGCGCAAUGGGCGAAAGCCUGACGCAGCAACGCCGCGUGAGUGAUGAAGGCUUUCGGGUCGUAAAGCUCUGUCAGAGGGGAAGAACCGCCUUGUGGCUAAUAUCCAUGAGGUCUGACGGUACCCUCAAAGGAAGCACCGGCUAACUCCGUGCCAGCAGCCACCGUAA